AUGGAACCUGAUGCUAAACCCGUUGUUGAUCACCAACGUCGGUUAAAUCCUAAGAUGAAAGAAGUGGUAAGAACGGAAAUAUUAAAACUUAUGGAAGCAGGUAUAAUCUAUCCCAUAGCUGAUAGUAGAUGGGUAAGUCCUGUUCAUUGUGUUCCUAAGAAAGGAGGUAUAACUAUUGUUCCUAAUGAUAAGAAUGAACUUAUUCCACAAAGAAUUGUUACAGGCUAUAGAAUGGUAAUUGAUUUUAGAAAAUUAAACAAAGCAACUAGAAAAGAUCAUUACCCUUUGCCUUUUAUUGAUCAAAUGCUUGAAAGAUUAUCUAAGCACACACACUUUUGCUUCCUUGAUGGAUAUUAUGGCUUUUCACAAAUACUUAUUUCUCAACCUGAUCAAGAAAAGACCACUUUUACUUGUCCCUUUGGAACUUAUGCUUAUAGACGUAUGCCUUUUGGUUUAUGUAAUGCACCUGCUACCUUUCAAAGAUGUAUGACUGCUAUAUUCUCUGAAUUUUUUGAAAAGAUUGUUGAGGUUUUCAUGGAUGACUUUUCUUUUUACGGGAAGUCUUUUGAUGAUUGUUUAAGCAAUCUUGAUCGAGUUUUGCAGAGAUGUGAACAAAAAAAAAUCUUGUCUUGA
rnacentral:rRNA from 1 species